ACUUGACGUGAAACAGCAGAGAAGCAGAAGGAGCUUGAGGGACACCUCUCCGGAGAGCCGAGGGUCAUGAAGUUGUCGGAGGCUAGCGUAGGCGAACCUCUACCGGUGUGAUCACCCUGCGAGGAAGAUCAUGCUAGAGUUCUGGAGCUAGAAGUCAUCAAGAUCAAGGUAGGAUCCUGGUGGUGAUCUUGUGAUGUACAAUCAUUCAUGGUGAAGUAAUAGAUGUAAUCCUGUUCUUAGCGAUCUAAGUAUCUCCUUUGAUGGUUUUAUACUUUAUCGGGUUUGCUUGUUUUCAAUCUAUG
rnacentral:lncRNA from 1 species